GUCUAUGGUCAUACCACCCUGAACGCGCCCGAUCUCAUCUGAUCUCGGAAGCUAAGCAGGGUCGAGCCUGGUUAGUACUUGGAUGGAGGCUCCUUUUUCU
rnacentral:rRNA from 1 species